rnacentral:rRNA from 1 species
AGCAGCCGCGGUAAUUCCAGCUCCAAUAGCGUAUAUUAAAGUUGUUGCAGUUAAAAAGCUCGUAGUUGAAUUUCGGGGUCAGUAGGUUGGUCAUGCCACUGGUAUGUACUGGUCUCACUGAUUCCUCCUUCCUGAUGAACUGUAAUGCCAUUAAUUUGGCGUUGCAGGGAAUCUGGACUGUUACUUUGAAAAAAUUAGAGUGUUUAAAGCAGGCUAACGCCUGAAUACAUUAGCAUGGAAUAAUGAAAUAGGACGUUCGAUCCUAUUUUGUUGGUUUCUAGGAUUGACGUAAUGAUUAAUAGGGAUAGUUGGGGGCAUUAGUAUUCAAUUGUCAGAGGUGAAAUUCUUGGAUUUAUUGAAGACUAACUACUGCGAAAGCAUUUGCCAAGGAUGUUUUCAUUAAUCAAGAACGAAAGUUAGGGGAUCGAAGACGAUCAGAUACCGUCGUAGUCUUAACCAUAAACUAUGCCGACUAGGGAUCGGAUGAUGCUAAUUUUUAAUGACCCAUUC